CUUCUUCAUUUUCAAAUGGUUUUGUGUGUCUUUUUUUGUACUUGUACAAAAAUCAUACUAAAUAUAAUGGCAUGAUUGUUAUUCUUGUGAAAGCGUUCUAGGUUUACCAACUACGUAAAUAACAGAUGACAGUGGUCAGGCCCUUAUAACCUCCAUUUCAAAAU
rnacentral:misc_RNA from 1 species